rnacentral:rRNA from 1 species
UAAGACCACAGUACCGCAUGGUACAGGGGUAAAAACUCCCCCGGAAUGAGAUGGACCCGCGUCUGAUUAGGUAGUCGGCGGGGUAACGGCCCACCGAGCCUACGACGGGUAGCCGGCCUGAGAGGGCGACCGGCCACAUUGGGACUGAGAUACGGCCCAGACUCCUACGGGAGGCAGCAGUGGGGAAUAUUGCACAAUGGGCGCAAGCCUGAUGCAGCGACGCCGCGUGCGGGAUGACGGCCUUCGGGUUGUAAACCGCUUUUGUUGGGGAGCAAGCCUUCGGGUGAGUGUACCCUUCUAAUAAGCACCGGCUAACUACGUGCCAGCAGCCGCGGUAAUACGUAGGGUGCAAGCGUUAUCCGGAAUUAUUGGGCGUAAAGGGCUCGUAGGCGGUUCGUCGCGUCCGGUGUGAAAGUCCAUCGCCUAACGGUGGAUCUGCGCCGGGUACGGGCGGGCUGGAGUGCGGUAGGGGAGACUGGAAUUCCCGGUGUAACGGUGGAAUGUGUAGAUAUCGGGAAGAACACCAAUGGCGAAGGCAGGUCUCUGGGCCGUUACUGACGCUGAGGAGCGAAAGCGUGGGGAGCGAACAGGAUUAGAUACCCUGGUAGUCCACGCCGUAAACGGUGGAUGCUGGAUGUGGGGCCCUUUCCACGGGUCCUGUGUCGGAGCUAACGCGUUAAGCAUCCCGCCUGGGGAGUACGGCCGCAAGGCUAAAACUCAAAGAAAUUGACGGGGGCCCGCACAAGCGGCGGAGCAUGCGGAUUAAUUCGAUGCAACGCGAAGAACCUUACCUGGGCUUGACAUGUGCCGGAUCGCCCCGGAAACGGGGUUUCCCUUCGGGGCCGGUUCACAGGUGGUGCAUGGUCGUCGUCAGCUCGUGUCGUGAGAUGUUGGGUUAAGUCCCGCAACGAGCGCAACCCUCGCCGCAUGUUGCCAGCGGGUUAUGCCGGGAACUCAUGUGGGACCGCCGGGGUCAACUCGGAGGAAGGUGGGGAUGACGUCAGAUCAUCAUGCCCCUUACGUCCAGGGCUUCACGCAUGCUACAAUGGCCGGUACAACGGGAUGCGACGCGGCGACGCGGAGCGGAUCCCUGAAAACCGGUCUCAGUUCGGAUCGCAGUCUGCAACUCGACUGCGUGAAGGCGGAGUCGCUAGUAAUCGCGGAUCAGCAACGU